AGAGUUUGAUCAUGGCUCAGAACGUACGCUGGCGGCACGCCUAACACAUGCAAGUCGAACGAAGUAGCAAUACUUAGUGGCAGACGGGUGAGUAACAUGUAGGUAUCUGCCCUUUGGCCUGGAAUAACACGAGGAAACUUGUGCUAAUACCGGAUAAGUCUUUACGGAGAAAGCUUUAUGCACCAUUGGAUGAGCCUGCACUUGAUUAGUUUGUUGGUGGGGUAAUGGCCUACCAAGACUGUGAUCAAUAGCUGAUUUGAGAGGAGGAUCAGCCACAUUGGGACUGAGACACGGCCCAAACUCCUACGGGAGGCAGCAGUGGGGAAUCUUGCACAAUGGAGGAAACUCUGAUGCAGCGAUGCCGCGUGAGUGAAGAAGGCCCUUGGGUUGUAAAGCUCUUUCGUCGGGGAAGAAAAUGACUGUACCCGAAUAAGA
rnacentral:rRNA from 1 species